rnacentral:snRNA from 2 species
GUGUUCGCUUUGGCAGCACAUACACUAAAAUUGGAACGAUACAGAGAAGAUUAGCAUGGCCCCUGCACACAUGUUAACAACAACAAGGAUGUUGUU